rnacentral:lncRNA from 1 species
UUUUUCUUAAAUUUUAUUAAAUAAAAGGUAUAAAUGUCAAUUAGGAGGUGUAAGAUGAAAGAGGUGAGGUGUAAUGAGGAACACUCAAAUAUCAAAACAAUAAUAAUUGACAUUAACACUAACACGUGACAUUAAUUUAUCAUAUGAUAUUGUCCUGUCACUUGACAUUCACUUGACAUUGUCAUGUUAUAUGACAUUCUUCUAUCAAG